UCCAUCUCUUGCAGAGUCACCACUUCUUCCGCUCCACCCGGUAUGGAUACGCUCAUCCAGUCUCCGUCCCUACCAAAACGACCCUGCUGUGGCGGAGAUCCUCUUCCCAUCGAGUUUUCGAGGUUUUCGACACCGGAACAGAUGGAUCAUCUCUUAGAAGCCUUUCUAGGGCUCUCAGAUUCCUCCUCCUUGUUUCUCGACAUCUCUCUCGAGCGGCUUCUAGAAUCUAGGGCUUCUGAUUCCGAACAAAACCUUAUGAUCGAGAAGGCUCUUAAGCUAGGUUCUGUUCUCAUCGAGGCCGGUAAACAAUCCGCUAGAAAGCGUGCUUCCCAGAAUAAUUCGAUAGUUUGGGCCCUGCCACCUGAUCUCACUCUCAAAGUAUUUUCCAUACUUGAUACAAGAAGCCUGUGUUAUGCUGCGGCAACUUGUUCAAUGUUCAAAAAUUGUGCCAUGGAGCCAUUAUGCUAUACAAAUAUUGACUUAACAUCAGUAAUCCCAAAGGUCAAUAACGCAGUUGUGUCUGCAAUGAUACAGAGAGCAGGAAAAAACCUCCAGUCUCUCAAGCUUGGUAUAUUGCCAAGCCCAACUCCAUCUCCAGGAUAUUCUCAACCUAUGGUUUUUAGCACCAAGAAUUCUGUAAAUGCAUCAGGUUAUUCUUGGAACAAUAAGAAGUCGAGGCAAUGUAAAGAGUCAUGUGUUCUUACAAGAUCCUGUCUGACAUCUUUAGGUGCAGAUGGUGGUGCUGCUGGGGCUUUGUUGAGGAGAUUGCACCUCUACAAUAUUGACAGAAUGGACAAUACAGCACUUUGUGCAGCAUUAUCAACAUGUCCGUCACUCCUGGAUCUAGAAAUUAUCGGACUUCACGUUGAGCUGAGGCAAACGUUGGAGUCUGUGAGCAAAAACUGUCACUUCAUAGAGCGGUUAUUCUUUGAGUCUUCUAAAACAGGUAGAGAUGACAGUUUGAAAUCUCCAACAUGUGUGGAUCUUGUAAAUGGUUGUCCCCAUCUAACUUCAUUGGCUCUUAGAGGAUUCAAGCUGCAUGAUUAUAAAGUCCGUAUACUUGUUAAGGGAUUUCGCCAGCUGAAAUCAGUUGAUUUUUCAACAUCCUAUUCAAUCACAGGCACCUUUUUAAGGAAUCUUGGUAGUGGAUCAAAUGGAGGUCAACUGGAGGUUAUAAUCUUACGUGAUUGCAUGCAUCUCAAAGAAAUGGAAGUUGCUCGGUUUCUUGCAGCAGUUCUUGCAGGGGACUUCAAAUUUCUUAGCCACCUUGACAUAUCCAACAGGGAAGGUCUAGCUGGAGAGGCAGAUUGGUAUCUAAGAACCCAAAGCCCAAGUAUUAUUCCUAUAAAGCGUGUCUUGGAGGAAAGGCCUGAGAUCUGCUUCCUAGCUGAAUUUCCUGAUGAGCCAAGCUAUAUUGAGAUAACUGACGGUGAUAUAGACAGUGACUUCAGUUUGUCAUUGCAAUUAAGUUUACCAUUUACAAGUUCAUCAGAAGGCAGCUAUAGUAGCGAUCAUGGCAGUGGCAAUGAGGAUGGUCGGGAUGUGGGUUAUGUAGUUUAUGAGGAAAGCUCGGACGAGGUGGACAUUUUGUCUAUCUAGGAAAGUUGUCAAGGAUGCUAUGAAGGCUGACUUUGAGUCUUCUAAGAUAGUAUCUAGAAGUUGACUCGACAAGAUAACUACUUUGCUUGCUACACCUUCCAAGUGCUUUACUAUUUCGGAUACAGAAGAGGCAGUGGGUCUGUACUUAUGGCCAGCGAAGCAAGGAAGACCUACAGUUCUUGGUGUUCUGCGGGACAAUAUAACCUGAUGGAGUCUAUAGUCACAUUUACUAAAGGAGUGCUGAGUUUGCAUUUAUCUAAGAGGCAUUUUCUAAUGUAAAUCAGCUCAAUUUGUUUGUAGAAAUCGUUGAAUUUUGAUCCUUGUCCAAAUGUGUUGGAUUCUGUAACUGGGGGCUGCUGCUGGCCUUAUGCGCCAUAUGUUCCAUUGAUCUGUUACCAUUCUCAUUGACGUGUGUUAAAUCUCUCAAUAUAUUGGCUAUAGAUUUCAAGUUUGAAUGCAGCAUAUAAUAUUUUGGCAGACAA